GUGCUCACUUUGGCAGCACAUACACUAAAAUUGGAAGAAUACUGAAAAUUAUCAAAACUCCUACACAAGGAUGACAUGGAAAUUUGUGAAGCUUUCCAUAUUUUG
rnacentral:snRNA from 1 species